GUUCAUAUUAUAUGCCACCAUUUCAUAGGUUAUCAAAAUAAUCUUUCUUAGCUAGAGAAUGAUAGGAUUCAAACUAUAGAAGAAUUGAGUGAGAUAUUAAAAUAGAUCUUUUAUUGAAGAAGAACUGAAGAGAAUUACAUAAACGGGACUAAUACUCGACCUCUUUCCUCACCUGUCAAUUGCCUGCCUUCUCUACUAGGUUCUACCUCUAUUUAUAGCUAAUUUCCUAACUGUUUCUCCUCCAACACAUGCUUUCCAAUAGAUUCUAUUUUCUCUCCCUUUUUGAUCCUUCUAGAAUAGGUGAAGUGUAUCGGUAGCUUAUCAAUAUUCCCAGGCUUCCAAGACACCUUGUCCUCAAGGUGGAAACUUGGAAAGUGUUGAGGAUAGCUUCUGCUGAUUCCCAGGUUGCGUCGGUCGUAGGUAGACCCUUUCAUUUUAUCAGAACUUCUCAACCAGGACGUUCUUCCAGGACUUGGUCAGGCUCCACAACCCAUUCAAGGUUCGCCUCAAGCUGAGAUGGAAAUAGUUAACUUCCCUCAGUUGCCCCCACUGCCUUUUUCAGCUGUGACACGUGGAAGACAGGAUGUAUUGUAGCUUCAACAGGCAAUUUCAUAAGAUAUGCAACUGGCCCUAUACGCUUUUCUACCUCAAACGGACCAAAAUACUUAGGCCCCAAUUUUUUAUUCUCCUUCCUGGCCAAUGAAUGAAGGUGGUAAGGCCGCAGCUUAACAUAAACCAAGUCCCCAACCACCAGCUGAACAUCACGUCUGUGCUUGUCCGCCUCUCUUUUCAUCCUUUCUUGAGUAUGGAGGAGAUGAGAUUUUAACUCUUCUAGCAUAAUAUCCCGGUCUUUUAACUGCUGUUCCAUUGUUGUAUUUGUUGAAGAGUGAAAUGUUGUAUUAUACCAAUACUCAGCCCAUGGGAGCCAUGAGUACUACCGUUUGGGCUGAUCAUACGUGAAGCAGCGAAGAUAAGUUUCCAGGCAUCUAUUAAUUACUUCAGUCUACCCAUCGGUUUGAGGGUGAUAGGUCAUGCUUCGUCGAAGGAAGGUCCCUUACAUCCGGAAGAGUUCUGUCCAAAAAUGGCUUAAGAACACCUUGUCCCUGUCUGAAAUAAUGGAACUGGGAAUUCUGUGGAGGUGUACAUUUUCCUUGACUAAAACUGUUGCAACCUAACUACUGUAAAUGGGUGUUUAAGGGGUACAAAAUGUGCGUACUUGCUUAAACGAUCCACCACGACUAUAACGGUAUUGUACCCUCCUGAUUUCGGUGGUCCUUUCACAAAAUCCAUUGAAAUGUCAUCCCAAAUGAGGUGGGGAAUUAGUAGAGGCUAUAAUAACCCUGCCAGAGAUAGAGCCAUGAACUUAUUUUGCUAGCACACUGGACAUUUCACAACAAACUUCUUGAUAUUCGCCUUCAUCCCCAUCCAGUACAAGUCGUCGGUCAGUCGUUUGUAAGUGCGAAAAAACCUGGAAUGGCCUCCCAAUGUGCUACCGUGGAACUCGUAUAGCAGGAAGGGAAUUAAGGCUGAAGUUCGAGAGAUUACCAGUCACCCUUUGUAUAGCAACUUCCCCUGAAGGAUUGAGUAACCUGGGUGUGCAUCUGGAUCCCCCUGCAAGUCCUUCUUCAUUUUGGAUAACACCGGAUUAUUUUCCACCUCAGUCUCAAUCAAUUGUGCAUCCAACAGCUUGGAGAAGGUGAGUGUCCUCAGUUCAAUAGGAGUGGGAAUGCGUGAUAGCGCAUCAGCUGCCUUAUUUUCCAAUCCCCACCGGUAUUAGAUCUCGAAAUCAAAUCCCAACAGCUUGGUCACCCAACGCUGGAAGUCCCCUGAUAUCACUUUUUGUUCCAAGAGGUAUUUUGAGGCUGCGUUGGUCUAUGCAAACGACAAACUUCCUUCCCAAUAUAUAGUGCCUCCAUUUCUGAAUUGCUAAUACAACGACCAUCAACUCCCUCUCGUAGAUGGACUUCUGCCGAGACUAUGCUGACAGUACUUGGCUAUAAAAUGCAAUAGACCGAUGGUCCUACAUGAGUACUGUACCUACUCCACAACCUGAGGCAUCUGUCUCAAUGAUGAAGGGUUUCGAGAAAUCGGAGAGAGCUAAAACUGGGAUCGUGAUCAUGUCCUGCUUUAACCGUUCAAAUGCUUCCUCGGCUUCAUUGUUCCAGCUAAAGGAAUCUUUCUUUAACUGUUGGGUGAGAGGCCAAGAAAUGGUGCCAUAACCUUCCACAAAUCUCCUAUAAUAGCCUAUUAAUCCCAAGAAACCCCGAAGUUUCCGCAGAUUUCGAGGAGUUCGCUAAUUAACCAUGGCUGUGAUUUUGCUGGGAUGAGCUGCCACUCCCCCAGCCGAAACCAAGUGCCCAAGUAUGCUAUAUGUGGUUGAGUAAAGAGGCAUUUCUUUUUGUUUGCGCCCAACUGAUGCCUUUCUAAAACGGUGAACACCUCCUCCAGAUGAUGCUCAUGUGACGUCACAUCCUUACUAUGCACUAAGAUGUCAUUAAAAAAACCAAAACGAACUUUCUCAAAUAACUUCUGAAUACGUGGUUCAUCGAAGACUCAAAUGUAGCCGAGUUAUUGGUGAGGUCGAACGACAUAACUAGAAAUUCAUAGUGCCCUUCGUGAGUUCUGAAAGCCGUUUUAUGCACAUCUUCCUUCCGAACCCUUAUCUGGUGAUAGCCAGACCUCAAGUCAAUUUUGAGAAUAUAGUUGCACCCUGGAGCUCAUCUAACAAUUCGUCAAUUACUGGCAUUGGAAAUUUGUCUGGCACAGUUACCUUGUUCAACGCCCUGUAGUCGACACAAAAUCGCCAACUUCCAUCUUUUUUCUUUACGAGUAGCACUGGGUUGGGGAAGGGACUGACGCUGGGUUGAAUGAUCCCAGCCUUCAACAUUUUUUUAACCAUCCUCUCAAUCUCAUUUUUUUUGGAAGUGCGGGUACUGAAAAAGCCGAACACUGACUGGGUUCAGAGCCUUCUUUCAAAGGAAUGGCAUGGUCGAUUUCCCGAGCUGGAGGCAACUCUCCCGUCUCUUCGAAUACUUUCGCAUAAUGUUGUAACAGCCUCAGCACCCCUGCAGGUGGUUCUACCGCCAAUUUCCUUAAUUUCCCUUCUUCUCGUCCGUCGCUUAUUUUCACCAAUACCCCUUGCCUCUCGUUCUAUAGUGUUUUCAUCAUCGUUUUCAAGGAAAUCCUUGAUUUGGUUAGCCCCUUAUCACCUUUUAAAGUCAACCAAUCAUUCCCCAUUCAGAAUUUCAUGGUUAACAGCUUCUAGUUGACCUCUAUGCUCCCUAACGUGCCUAACCGUUGCAUGCCCAAAACAACGUCUGUGCUGCCCAAAUCCAGUGGCAAAAAGUCUUCUAUAAUUGUCAGCUCUUGCAAUUCCAGUACUAUCCCUUUACACAUCCUUUUCCCGUCAUUGACUCACCCGUUCCUAUGACGACCCCAUAAUUGUUGUUCACUGUGGUUGGAAGUCCUAUUUUUCGAACCACUUCCAGAGAAAUAAAGUUAUGGGUCGCCCUUUGCCUCUUAAUUUCAUGGUGCCCUGGAGUGGUUAGCCCUAUCAUAGAGUUGAGCAAUAGUUCUACCGUCUUCGUUACCCCUGGUGGCGGCAGCUCCACAGGAUUUUCGAAGUCAGCAGCUCCUUCUUCUUCGCAAUCUUGCACCAACAGUACACGAAGCUCCCGGUUCUUACACCUGUGGCCGAUCGUAUAUUUCUCUUCACAAUGGAAGCAAAGACCCUUCUCUCGCCUCGACCUCCACUCCGCAUCAGUCAUGCGUUCUAUGGGUGCUUCUCUUCUACCGUUUGCAGGUCGGUCCUCCAUCGUCACUAUCUUCAUACGGAAUGUUCUUGCCUUGAUUGGGUUUGGGAAAAUUUUGAGAUUUUUCUGGGUGAAGGCUUCUUUAACGUUUCUAAUUACUAAGUUUCGGUCAUCAACUUUUUGGGCCACCUCCAUUAUCUGGCACAAUCCUUUAGGGCCCAAUAAGCACACUUCAGCUCUGAUUUCGGGUAGUAGCCCAUUCACAAACGUGUUUUCCAUUACUUUAUUAGGGAGAUCUUUCAACAGGGCGGCCAAAACCUCAAACGCUCUCCUAAAUUCCACCAUCUAUCCUUCCUGUCUCACCGCCAAAAACUUCUCACAAAGGCUGCCUUCCUGGGUUGGCCGGAAACACAGUAAGAGUUGUUUCCGAAACUCCUGCCAGUCCUGGAAUGCCCUCCUUGCCUCUGUCCAUUGGAGCCACGAGAGAGCAUCGCCUUCCAAACUUACUCCAAUUGCUCCCAUUUUCUCUUGCUUCGUUAGUCCAUUGACCUCAAAGUACCUUUUCGCACGGAAGAGCCACCCAUCCGGAUCUUCCCCAUUGAAAAUGGGCAUUUCAAGCUUCCUCACUCGAUGCCAACUGUCCCCUCCUUCCUGGUCUGUGGUGAUGGAUAUUUCCCCUUGGCUGGCUUCCCCAGAGCCUUCCGGCCAUUUUUCCCGCUCCAUCGUUCGUUGAUUGCUUACAUCUCCCAGAGGUAUGUCUCGAGGUAUCUACCCUCUGGUAAUACUUCCUAACCCAUUGCCUUCCGAUCUCUCAUUUGACCCCGACUUCGGAUUUGAGAGGGUUGUUACUGUCCUUACUAAUUUCUUCCAAGGCCUGCAUCAUUUUGUCUAUGUUUUGAGCCAAGUGUUCCAUCAACCGCUCCAAGCCUGGUAGCCUUUGCAGCUCGGUCUUUACUUCUUCCAACUUUUUUUCCAUGGUUUCUAUCCUGCCUUCUGUUCUUUUUCUAAGCCAUCGAGAUGCACGUGCUCUGAUACCAAUAUAAUAGUAGUCAAACUAUAAAAGAAUUGAGUGAGAUAUUAAAAUAGGCCCUUGUUUGAGCUACAUUAUUUUUCUUAAAAUACAUUUUUGAAUAGUGCAUUGAUGGAAAAUGUGUGGUUAAAAAAUAAAGAAAAAUUUUGGAUUUACGUGUAAUAGUAUUUUAUUAAAAACUGUGUGGUUGAAAUGAUGUUAAAUCACUAUUUAAAAAUGUAUUUUUUUGAAAAAUGUGGCUCAAACAUAGCCUAGAUCUUUUAUUAAAGAAGAACUUAAGAGAAUUACAUAAAUGGGACUAAUACUCGACCUCUUUCCUCACUUGUUAAUUGCCUGCCUUCUCUACUAGCUUCUACCUCUAUUUAUAGCUAAUUUCCUAACUGUUUCUCCCUUAGUACAUGCUUUCCAAUAGAUUCUGUUUUCCCUCCCUUCUUGAUCCUUCUAGAGUAGGUGAAGUGUAUCGGUGGCUUAUUAGAGAACUCCCCAAUUUUCCUCUCAAUUAAGGUGAUCUAUGUUACCGAUACGCAUUUGUAAGUUGUAACGUUCUUAGAUAAGAUAGUUGGACUUACUUAGCCUUGACCCAUUAUCUACAUAAUAGUUCCAUUUUGUAUGUGACGGUAGGCAUGUGCAUUCUGUCAUUGCAAAUGUUCCCAUCAUUUGGGAAGCCAUAUCUACACCAAGGGGUGUGUUCAAUUGGGACUUUUAUAAAAAAAAUUAUAGAUUUUUUUUAAAUGGGUGACUUUUGUGGAUUUUGUGGACUUUUAAGUAACUUUUGUCGAUUUAUUAAGAAUUAAUCAAAGUCAACCAACAACCAUGGACUUAUAUGAAUUUCUGUAGACUUUCCCUAAAGACUUUUUGAAAGAAAAAUGUUGAACAUAUGUAACAUAAUAUUUUAAAAACAUUUCAUAUGUCAAAAUCAGACACAACAUAUGUAAUUAACCUUGUGGAUUGAGCCAUCGGUUCAAGUCAACGAUGUUUGGAUGGCCUAACCCGUUCCAUUUCAAUCCAUUGGAACAACUAUAAAACCAACCAAGCCAUUAAUAACACAUACCAUAAUCAAAAUCACCUUUUGAUUUAGUUGUACAACUAUAUGUUUAAUGCCAUUAAUUUCUGUCUCCAAUGUUCUUGCAUAAAUGUCGUCCCCUAAUGCAAUUGAGUGUAACCUAAGUUUUUUCAAUUUCAAUCUUUUUUUUUUUUUUUAAAGAUAGGAAAGUAUAUGAUCUUCUAUCGUUGUCUUGCUCAACACACCAAUACUAUCGCAUCAUCCACAAGUGGUAGAAUCAACCGUAAGUUUUAUUAGUUCAUUGUUUUCUUUUGACGUCCAUUUUUCAAAUUUUUUCAUACCUCUCUUCUGAACUAUCUUUUCCUAGUACUAAUUCUCCCAUUAAUGCUUGCCAGAUUGUACAUGCAAUGUAUUAAAUAUUUGAUAAAAACAUAAAAAAGUUAAUCUACAAACAGUAUAUGCACAUACAUAUAAGAGAGAAAACACCUAAUUAAAAGUUAAUGUAUUCAAUUAAUAGAAAAUUAAAGGUUAAAUAUUUGAAAGAAGCAAGGUAUAUUUGACAACAAGGUUAUAUACUUAAGGUAGGAAGGUUAACAUUUAACUAUAAAUAAUUAAUAAAAAGAACCUAAUAAAAGUAUAUGCAAUUUUAGAUGGAAAAUUGCACAAACAUCAUAAUGAAAUCUGGCAUAUGCAAUUCACUCGGCAUAUGAAAUUGGGCAUGCAAUCUGCUAUUUAAUUCAUUUAAAACAGCAAAUUCAAUUUAAUAUUGAAUAAAGUUCAAAAGUUCAAUUUAAGUCUAGUUGUUGGCCUUGAGAUGUAGUGGUGGUGGUUUUGAUUUUUAGAGGUGAUGUAGAUGUGGUGGUGGAAAUCGACUCAUGACUGUGGAAAGAUGGUGGUCCGAUGGUUGUAGUCUGCGAUUCCAUGUGGCAGCAGGUGAAUGUGGUGUUAAUGGUUGUGGAUUGGGGCAUUUGUUCAAAAAUUGUUGCAUCUCCGUGGCCGGAGUUGGUGGCGUCGUGCCUCUGUUGGCGUCGCUCGGGGUGGAGGUGCUGGUGGUGGUGUGGUAGGUGAAGAUGGGGUGUUGCGAAGCAAUGUUUUUGAGGUGAUGGUGUUUGUGGUGGUGUUGCAAGGUGGGUGGAGGGUAUGGUACGGUGGUGAUGGGUUUUCUGAGGUGCUAGGUAUUAUUGGAGGUUUGUGAUGGUGUUUGUUGGUGGUGGAGGUGGGUGGAGGUGCUGUCUGGAGCGGUGGAUAUGGCAGUGGUGAUUUUGGUGGUCGUGGUUGGGUCGGUGGUUGUGGUCACAAGUGUUGGUCACAAAUUAUUUGAUUAACUGUGACCAAUUAAAUUGGUUAAUUUGUGAUCAAUAAACAAUAUGUGAUCAAUAAGUAAUAUACACAGUGACUAAUAAAUAAUCUGUGACCUAAAAAUUAUUAAUCUGUGACCGAUAAUUUGUGAUUGUAUAAUAAACUGUGACUUAUAAUAUUCAUGAUUUGUGACCAAUGAAUAAAUAGUAACUCAUAAAUUUUUUGAUUUGUGACUGAUGAAUAAACUGUGACUUAUAAAAAUUUUGAAUUGUGACCGUAAAAUAAUUUGUAACAUAAAAUUUCUGAUUUGUGAACGAAAAUUAAUAAGUGACUAAUUGAAUCAUUAAUUUGUUACCCAAUUGUAUAAAUCUAUGACAUAAAUAUAAUUAAUUAAUUAAAUCAUAAAUAAAUUUUAAUAAAAAUCUUAUUUUUGAAAUUUGAAACUUGUUUUCUUAAUUUUGAAAUGUGUGAUAUUUAAAAUCUUAUUUCUGAAAUUUUCCCUGUAUUUUGGCCUUUUCUCCUCUCAAUCUUAAACAAUCGUCUCCUUCGACAGCUCACAAAAACUGCCCAAGAAAUCAUCACAUUCUCCUUAAUCACUAUCCCUCUAUGCAGAAUACUUUUAUACUUCCCACUGGAUCAAAUCUUAAUGGUAUCUCCAAAGUGCGUGAUAAUGGAAUUAGCUACACAUUUUGCAGUUAUCCAUUUGCCCUAAUGGAAGAGUUGUGCCUGGCACCACGUUGUGGAGGAUGAAAGUGAGAGCACCGACGUUGAUGUGGGCUUCGACGCCAAGGACGAGUUCUGUGUAAAGGCAUUCUGGGUAAUAGUUUAUCUUCAAUUGAAGAAGGUCUUCCAUGCCACCAACUUCUUUAUCUAGUCUUUCUUGUUCUAAGCAUCUCAGUUUCUUUGCAUAGUAACUUGUUGCUGAACUGGAAAACGACAUGUUAUGAUUGGUUAGUAAAUGUGCUUUUAAGUUAAUUAAGUCUGCUAUUUUUGUGACUCAAAAUAAGCAAAUUGUGGGUUCUAAAUUAUAAUUGUGUCUC
rnacentral:lncRNA from 1 species